AGCAGCAUGGCGCAGUGGAAGCGCGCGGGGCCCAUAACCCCGAGGUCACUUGAUCGAAACAAGUUGCUGCUA
rnacentral:tRNA from 1 species